ACCAGUCCAGCUGCUCUAAUACAGGAAGUUCAAAAAACAGAAUAGCAAUAGUGAGAGUUUGACUCACCAAUCAGGUAAAACACUGGGGCUGGAUUUAAUAGAGGCAAAAUCAUGUUUUUUUUUUUUUUUUUGUUGAGAAUAUGUUUUUGUUGAGAAUAGGUUAUGGUCUAUUACAGAACCGAUGCUGUAUUGUCCUCAUUUGCAUAGCAAUGCAUUGUUGAAAUGAUUAAAUUCGACACCGCUAGUUUUUAAGGUGUAAACUUGGCCACAUGGCGACUGCAUCGGACAAUUGAUAGCCUAACGUUUAGACACUGUCGCAAGGGGAAUGCCACAGUGUGUCUACGUUCAGUAGCUUCCGUCGUAAAAGUUGUUACCGUUCGGAUUUGGUGGUAUUCCACUCCAUAAUAGCCCAUAUAUUCCCCAUUCAGUUCAUAAACUGCUAAGGCAGACAAAAGGUAUGAUUCUCUGGCCAGAGAGGGGGGUGUGUGAAAGUGUAUGAAUGUGAAUGUGUGAAAUAAGGUAUUGCGAGAGACACCAAGACAAGUUAAUAUCAAUCAAAACACCUGUGUCUAAAAUUAUUAAGUGGGCCCACAGGUUAAAAUAUGAUCACAGGUUAAAAUAUGACCCCACAGGGGGAAAAGAAAAUAUGGCCAAUAAAUUAACGGCCAGGGAAAAUUUUGGCUAACUAUCCUGAGUGUUUGAGUUGUUGUAGUGGCAGAAAGAAACAGUGCCACACAUGCGCAGCGUAUAACUUUGGGAAGGCAGAGAGCAAUCUUACUCUGUCCUCCCCAUACUUAACUUUUUUUCCUUUUACAGGAUGUCAUGAUGGAUCUCAUCGAGCAGAACUGAUUCUGUUCCAAAUGUAUAAAUAUUGUCUUGUUACUGUUUAACAUGAAAUUUCACAGGUCUCAUCAGUAAGGGAAGACCAGCCAGACAAGCAGAUGAGUUAAUAGAUGAUGUCACUAACAAAAUACAUGUCUUUUCAGCUUUUGCGAAAUUGACGCACGGGUUGGACCAUGCGUCAAAAGGAGGGAUGUUGAAAUGUGUGCAAAAUAACUGAUUUACAAAAGGUUUUUCCACAGUGGCUAAGGAGUAUUGCAGCAGAUGCAUGAUUUGUAUGAUGAACAAUGUGAGUAAAGGUCAGGCAACGAAACUAGAGGGGCAUCCCAGCCCAGACAAACCUUUUAGUCAUGUCAUAAUUGACUACAUUGAAUUGAUACCAAGUGAAAUAAAUAAAUAAAUAAAAUACUGUGAAACACAGAGAGAGUCAGUUCUGCCCUAUCCUUUUUGGGAGACCACCACAUAUGGGCUGGGAGCCACAUGAUCAAAGAACAUUGCCUGACACUGCUCUGUAUGAAAAAGAUAUGUUGAAUUAUUGUGUUGAGCUGGGUAAGGUUUUCUGUGAUAUAUCUCGACAGGUAAAAGCAGCUGUACCAGAGGUGGCAGACGGACCACUGCAUUCCAUCCGGCCUGGUGAUUUCGUGGUCAUCAAGGACUUUCGAAGGAAGCACUGGAGACAAAAGAGGUGGCAAGGGCCAUACCAGGUGCUACUGGUCACUCACACUGCCGUGAAGGUCGCAGAGACGGUGCCGUGGAUCCAUGGGACACACUGCCGAAAAGUGCCGGAGCCAUUAACGGGAGAGCCAUCCCGCACAAAGUCAGAGAGUUCGAGAAUUCAGAGCAAUUAGAUUGGGGCUGUUCAGUUGCUGGUUUUUUCAAUCCAGCACUACAGCCACUGGCCAAAAGACGAAGAACUGUGUUUGAACUAUCCAAGCAUAUUAGGGGUGGUACGAGCACACGCUAAGGAACUUUAUUCAUUCAACGGUGAAGGACAAGCGGUAACGAUUCUAUGCGUAACAACCCGACCGGGACUCAGACUUUCGAUUCAUAGACCGAGUGGGACAUUUGAUUUUGAACAAGGACAUUUCUUGGCCUGGAGGGGUAAUACAAGGUGGUAAUAUGUUACUAAAAGUUAUCCUUUUAAUUAGUGGGUACCUCCAGGUAUUUGGACAGGAGGGCAUCAAAUUGAGUAUGGCAAAAGGGAAAGGAUCUAAACUAACAAUAAUAUGUGACCCCAUCUCAGCAUCAGGGUAUGCACAAGAAGACGCUAUUAGAGAGUGGGGAAAAGCUUUGUAUUUUUGUAAGAAGCCAUGUGCCUGGAAAGAUGCUUAUGGGAGUAAUCAAGAGGCCAUAAAAAAGGGCUGUUAGAAAAUGCAGGGAAAGGUGAAGAUCCUGAAUAUACUUCUAGAUAUGGUCAUAGUGAUCCCCAGAUGAUUUAUAAAAUGAAAUUUGAGGAACUGAUUGAAAAUCACAAUGUAAAAUUGAAGGUCACUCUGACUACAGGGAAUUGGGGAGAUGGUGAUUGGGGAGGUACAUAUUUCUGUGUAUGGUGGACUGCAGGGAAAAGUACAUAUGUCCCAUUUACCAUAACAAUGAUUGAGCAACCUGGAAGUGGGGAGGAACUUGACUCAAUGAUGAAUGAAAAAGAUGAGGAAGAUCGACAAUGGUUAGAAACUCGAUUUGGACUAAGCUAUGAAGACAGGACAGUUUUGCAUGCUAGAAAACAAUGUGAAGGUAACAAAGCCUGUAUGCUGAGUGUCUUGCAGAGACAAGCACUGGGGAUAACAGAAUCGUGUUGGUGGUGUUUGCAGAUGGAUAGGACUUGGAAAGCGCAUCCGUUAAAGAGCCAACAUCUGAACGAAUUAAAGGGGUUAAUUUCGUGUGGAAUGUGGGAGACAUUGAGACUAAUGGAGUUAUUGAGGAAUGGAAGUAGUGCAGGAGAGGAUGCUGGCUGUACAAAUCCGAUGGAGCAUUACACAGGUGGGAAAAAGAAUGUAUGGGCAGUAAAGCCGCAGGUUGGAGAUAUGUGUAGGAAAGUAGGAAAAGAGGUAAACGGGAGAAGACUGAUAAAGAUUGGAUGAUCUUAUUGUCAUACAGAAGUAGAUUUGACUGAUAAAGGAUGUGAAAUAGAAGGGAAAAGCAUUGAUUGCUCUUUAACAAAGAAUUCAUUUAAUGACAUCACAGCUGUUGCAGUGUGGGUAUGUGGACAAACUGCAUAUCACUUUACCCCAAAAUUGGAUUGGAUACUGUUAUCUAGCUCUUCUAGAUGUAGGUACCUGUGUAGACGAUUAUGUUACUGGGGUUUUUCAAAUUGUAUGGUGUUUUCUUUCACUUAUUUAUUUUCCUUAUUUGUGUAUUUCAUUUAUUCUUUUACUUAUUUUUGUAUUAUGCUUACUUUUAUAAAAGAAAAUUUCUGUUUUGUUUUUGUUUUCAAGAUAUGAAAAAGGGGUGGAGUGUAAGGGAAAUUUUAAACUGAAUAUUAAGCUAACCAUGUUUUGACAUUUGACCUCAUUUAAACAGCUGAGUAUCUGAGACAAUGUACUAAGGCAUUCUGUACUUCAGAUGAAUGUGUGUGUGUCAAACACCUGAUUGUGUGUAUAAAUAACAAAUAUGAGAAAUGGAACCAGACAGAUGACUAAGUUCGAACCUGACAUCUAUGAAGUAAUCAUUUAAAGAAAGUUUCCUCUACCUAGUAACAGAAGAGGCAGUAAGUGAAGAACCAAUCAUAUUAUCUUUCAUUGCAUCUUAUUUUUUAUGUAUCUUUUCUUUUUGAACAUAUGCUUGUGUGUUUUAUAAGCAUAGAUGCUUUCUUGUUUUAGACAGAGAUGAUUUAUACAAUAGAUGUGCAUUUUCAGUAAAUGUUGUGUCGGGGAAAUUGCAAAUAGGACAGCCAGGCCAGGUAAAAAGGACAUAAGAUUCUGCCUGGUGACAAUAACUAACUUAGGGUGCGUUAGGCACAAGACAAAGAGCGAGAAAUGUGUGAUUAAGGGGAAUUGAAACUGUGUACGAAGAGGAGGGGGUACAUCUUGGAGGGUGAUAUUUUGUAUAUAAACUCUGUAAAAUGGGAAGCUCUUUGCCCUUCUCAUAUCAGACCCUGUCUGUGUGGGAACUGCCUUUCUUGCAAGAAAAUAAACAUGUGUACUUAUGACUUU